CAGCACCUCAAGUGGUCAGGAUGAUUAUUGGGCCUAAAGCAUCCGUAGCCGGCUCUGUAAGUUUUCGGUUAAAUCUGUACGCUCAACGUACAGGCUGCCGGGAAUACUGCAGAGCUAGGGAGUGGGAGAGGUAGACGGUACUCGGUAGGAAGGGGUAACAUCCUUUGAUCUAUUGAUGACCACCUGUGGCGAAGGCGGUCUACCAGAACACGUCCGACGGUGAGGGAUGAAAGCUGGGGGAGCAAACUGGAUUAGAGACCCGAGUAGUCC
rnacentral:rRNA from 1 species